rnacentral:rRNA from 1 species
AUUGAACGCUGGCGGCGUGCCUAACACAUGCAAGUCGAGCGGUAACAGGUGUAGCAAUACAUGCUGACGAGCGGCGGACGGGUGAGUAACGCUUGGGAAUCUGCCUAUUAGUGGGGGACAACCCGGGGAAACUCGGGCUAAUACCGCAUACGCUCUACGGAGGAAAGCCGGGACCGCAAGGCCUGCGUUAAUAGAUGAGCCCAAGUCGGAUUAGCUAGUUGGUAGGUAAUGGCCACCAAGGCGACGAUCCGUAACUGGUCUGAGAGGACGACCAGUCACACCGGAACUGAGACACGGUCCGGACUCCUACCGGGAGGCAGCAGUGGGGAAUAUUGGACAAUAGGGCGAAAGCCUGAUCCAGCGACGCCGCGUGGGUGAAGAAAGGCCU